rnacentral:tRNA from 1 species
UCCUUGGUGGCUAAGAUGGUAAAGAAUCUGCCUGAAAUGCAGAAGGCCCAGGUUCGAUCUCUGGGUCAGGAA